AGAUGCUGAAAUGUAUAGAGCUUGAUGAACGACUGAAAGCCAUGGAUCAAGAGAUCACUGUGAACCCUCAGUUUGUGCAGAAGAGUAUGGGCUCUCAAGAAGAUGACUCAGGGACCAAACCAUCCAGUUAUUCCUGAAAUUAAUGUUGCUCACCACUCCGCUUUCAAGUAAAAGCUUAAGAGAAUCACGCCUGGAAUAGGGCAUUGAGGAGUUCCAAGAAGAGAGCAGAGAGAACUGAGCUUUGCUUUACACCUGGACAUUAAGAAAAUAAAAGAACACCCUCUCAGUACUGUAUAAUUUCAGAAAUAUGCUCUGCAAAGAAAAAGGAAAUCUCAAAAGAAACUUAAGUCUGUUGUGGAUUUAUUUAUCUUCAGAUUAACAUCGUUAAUGCAUUAAAUAAUCUACCUUUUGUUU